rnacentral:rRNA from 1 species
AUUGAACGCUGGCGGCAUGCCUUACACAUGCAAGUCGAACGGCAGCACGGGAGCAAUCCUGGUGGCGAGUGGCGAACGGGCGAGUAAAGUAUCGGAACGUGCCCAGCCGUGGGGGAUAACGUAGCGAAAGUUACGCUAAUACCGCAUACGAUCUAUGGAUGAAAGCGGGGGAUCGCAAGACCUCGCGCGAUUGGAGCGGCCGAUAUCAGAUUAGGUAGUUGGUGGGGUAAAGGCUCACCAAGCCGACGAUCUGUAGCUGGUCUGAGAGGACGACCAGCCACACUGGGACUGAGACACGGCCCAGACUCCUACGGGAGGCAGCAGUGGGGAAUUUUGGACAAUGGGCGAAAGCCUGAUCCAGCCAUGCCGCGUGCAGGAUGAAGGCCUUCGGGUUGUAAACUGCUUUUGUACGGAACGAAAAGGUUUGGCCUAAUAAGCUGAGCUCAUGACGGUACCGUAAGAAUAAGCACCGGCUAACUACGUGCCAGCCGCCGCGGUAA